CUAAAGAAGAAGCAAAUGAGGUACAAGUCGUGGGGUCUAUUAAAGAAUUUCUACCUCAUGAGAAGAGAUUCUUGAGUUCACCUUGUCCAGGAAGGAUUCCCUGAGAUGCCAUCCCCCACUGGGCUUUAUCACAGCAUAUGUAACUGUUCUGUCAUUGUCUCCCCAACUAGAUGCUGAACCCCAGUGGGACUGUGAAGAUACUGUGAGUGUUCCUGGUGAUCAGAGCAGAAGAGAUACAACAGACGUAGGUGGCCAUGAGGGACUGCAGGCGAUUACAUAAGUGAACCAGGUGCCCUCUCCUCUGGUCCCUCUUUCAGUAGCUCAAAAUCACACUUUCUUCUAGUUUUUUCAGAUCUUCUGCUUUGCUGAAAGAAAGAUGAGUACUGGUAACUUUUUCUUUUUUUUCCCCCCCUUUCCUAAUAAUUAUAGCUAAUGACUAUUGAGCAAUUACUUUGUGCCAUGAUACAAUGUACUGAGCACAUUAGAUUAUUUCAUUUAAACCUCAGUGUAAUUCUGUGACAUAGGUACUGCUUUAUUUGUUUGUUUGUUUUCCCCCAGUUCAUAAAUAAAGAAGCUAAGGCUUGUGGAAUUUUAGUGGUUUGUAAAAGGUCAUUCAGGUAACUAGAGACGCUCCCAGUUUUGAAUAUAGGCAGCCCAAAUGCAGGACCUGCAGUCUUUUCUCUCUUCCCCUCUUGUUUUCAUUAUUGAAUCCUCUUGGAUGAAAUAAUCUGAGAACUAUUCCUCAUUUUCAAAUAGGCUGAGAAUGGAGAGCAAGCCACCACCGUGGGACAUCUCAGACAGAAUACUCUGAGUUUUUCCAAAUGGAAAAAUGCUUCCUACAGAAAGUGCUCCCCAAACCCAGCUCUACCACAAGAAAACCUCAGUCUUAACUAGUGUGAAGAGGGAAGUGUCAGAGCUCAGAAGAGCAUGAACCCAGUUGGGUCCUACUAGGGCCAGAACUGUUAUGGAUGCUGGGGAGAGAAGGCAGACCAGCCUUGCUGCGUUGGAGCUCACGUUCCGAGGAAGGAGGACGCUGCUGCCAGACACGGAAACAGCACUGAACAAGGAAGUGCCAGAGAGCGGUCAGAGCCGAGAGAAAUAGAGCAGGGUGAUUUGAUCGUAACAGUGAAGCGAUGCUGGGUGGCCCGGGAAGACUCUUCAGAGGAGGUGACAUUGGAGUUAAGGAGUGAAUACUUGAUAUUUUAUUAUUAUUAUUAUUAUUAAGAAUUAAAAAUAAAUGUUUUUGAACAUGCUAAGAAUUUUGGAAACAAGAUGAA